AUGCUUUUGAACUGCGGUUUUGGAGCAGACUCUUGAGAGUCCCUUGGACUGCAAGGACAUCUGUUAAAAUAUUCCUAGACUUUUCUGAGAAAGAUCAUCAAGUCCUUUCUUCCCCUUUUCUCCUGGAAGCUGGGCCAGUUGGAUAUUAAUUAGGUCUUUAUUUGACAUUCUCGUAACUAUUGGUAGCUUCAUGAACAAUCUUUUCCCCUAGGCAAGGCUUGAGGGAUACCAGUUUGUGAAUAUGUUCUUUUUCUUUUAAGAAAAGUUAGUACUGCCUCUGCUAGUUUCCAUGGCUGCAUCUCUGUGCAUCUGGAUAUAGGAAAUCAUUUGCUAUUUUUUUUAAAGUAAUUUUAUUUGUUUAUUUUGACUGUGAUGGGUCAUCGUUGCUGUGAGGGCAUGUCUCUAGUUGCAACGAGCAAGGGCUACUUCUUAGUCAUGGUGCUCAGGCUUCUCAUUGCAGAGGCUUCUCUUGUUGGGGACUGCAGGCGCUAGCGCGUUGGCUCAGCCGUUGCGGCGCAUGGGCUCAGUUGCCCCUCAACAUGUCGGAUUUUCUUGGAUCAGAGAUGGAACACUUGUUUCCUGCAUUGGUAGGCAGAUUCUUUACUGAGCCACCGGGGAAGCCUGAACAUCAUUUACCUUUAAUCGUAUUAUUCUGGGGUCUGGCCAGAGUGAGCUUUGUGUUCUGUAUUUGUGGUUUUUAUACAUGUCGCAGUGUCUACUGACAGAGAUACAUCACUUAGAAGAGAACACUACUGAACAGUUGCAAGCCUGCAAUGGAAAUAAAAGAGGUGGCAAGAUGGGCUAGAAUGCAAACAAAUUAAUCAGUCACUGAGAAGCCUGGGAUUCAUGUUUAAAAUGCUUAGAGAUGGUGCCACAUGUAAGUAAGAAUACAGCACACGUCAUUGUUCUGCUGCUCUGUGCGUGUUUUUGCAGACUGUGCCCUUGCUGCUGCCUCCCGGUUUCCUCAUUGUUCACAGGUGACACACCUUCCCUGUGUUGCUUCCUUCCCUGUUUUUCCACAGAGUGGAGCUGUAACUGCACCGAGAUGAGGCCAACAAAAUUCCAGAGAUCAAAUGAUAAUGAGAAUGACCACAAGUGUCUGUUUACUUAUUGACAGGCGAGGGGAAAUAACUCAUCAGGUUUCGUUUGAAGAUCUCAGGGUGUGGAAAUCAGACUUUUAGAUCUUAAUCCAGUGAGAAUAAAAGAUGAACCACCUCUCAUGUCUGCUCAUGACAAGUCAUUUCUUUACUCUGGGUACGAAUCGCAUCCUCAGUGGUCUGAAAUAUGCCUUUCAAAGAGAUAAGUUGUUUGUUUUUCAGAUGACGGCACCUCACAGGUGUGCUCAGCCUGGCAGGACGAUAGCAUCUGGUAUGUGGAAAAGAAGAGCCUUUCUUGUGUGUGUUAUUCAGUAAGUUGGCAAAUACUUAUUGAUGCAGUUUGUGCCAAGAGGUGUUCUUAGUGUUCCCAAGGGUAGAGCAGAGAACUGAACAGGUGAGUCUCUGACCUUAAGGAGCUUCCACUUGAGUGGAAGGAGACAGUUAAUAAAAGUUUAUCCGGGCAAGAAAUAAAAUAGGGUCACAUGUUACAGAUUGGCCUAGACUGAUCAGGAAAGACCUCUGAGGAGGGACUUCUGAACUGAGGUCUGAAUGUUGGGAAGAAACCAACCGAUUGACAACUUUGAGGGAGCAGGGGCCGAGCUCCACAUGUUGAACAGAAACAAGGUCCCUGCAUCGGGAUGUGAUAAGGGAGGAAGAAGGAGUCCAGCCUGAUUUGGAGCCAUCUUUGAUCCCUUCUCCACCUCCCAUGAACACUGGGCCACUGGAUGCUGCCCGUUUGCCUUCAACCUGGUCACUCUUGUUGGUUCUGUCUUUCUAAAUGUUGCCAUACUCUAAAGGGAAUCUUCCUGACCCAGGGAUCGAACCUGCAUCUCCUGCACUGGCAGUUGGGUUCUUUACCACUGUACCACCUGGGAAGCCCAAGUAUUCAAAGGCCAUUGAUGGUAGGAAGAGGUCUUCAGCGUAAUUACAGCUGCUCCCAUCAUAGUGUGCCCUGUUGCCCUGCAGACUGAUAGCAAAUGAAGGUUUUACUUCUGUGCCAGUUUUGCAGGAAUUUUUCCUCACUGCAUUCCACAAGCCCAGAGAAACUCGCUGGAACUCAUACAAAACCCUCUCCUGCUGCCAUAUUAGGAAUCAAAAUGUGUAGCAGAACCCUACUGCCAAGUCGAGAUAAUCAACAGGGAAUGUCUGUGCCUUCAAGCCAAAUGAGUGCAGAGAAAUGAUCAAGGCAGCAAAAUAAAUAAUAAAACAGGACUGGCUUUAGAUUGUGGUCUUGUUAUAUCCCACUCACUAAUAAAGCUGUGCUGGAAAUUUCUGUACCUCUUGUCUAGUCAAGCACCAGAGUCUAGUUCUGGCUCAUGUUACUGUGGAUAUAACACACUCUAGGUCACAAGUGUAGCGAAAUGAAAUAACAUAUCUCUGUCUUGUUAACUGCAUCAAAAAUUGUUGUGGUUUGCACACCUCCUCAGUCUUCUACCUUAAUACCAAACUGAUUCUGCAGUACUUUAAAUUUUAGAUUUUUCUUUUGCCAGCUUUUGGAAAGGGCCUCUCAGUAUGUGGAAGUUACCAGGAAACGAUCCAGCUAUUGCUUUCACUCCAACUGAAGCUGGUUGUGAGAUAAGUAGUAUCUUCCUAACUUAUACCCAGCACUUGGUCUAUCACAUACUUGACUGGAAAUAAAUGUUUAAUUAAUACAUGUGACAAAUUAAGAGCUGCUUCAAAUCACAGCACAGUGGUUCUGGGAUCCUAGCGAGGGACAGGAUGGGGAUUAUAUAGUGAGGGCUGAGCCAUCAUCUAGUGACUUAAACAGACUAUUGUGGAACGAACUGCCUGCUUUAUGGAGACAGUAACGGUUACACCUGAUAACGUAAUGCUCGUACGAUGAGAAACUUGACCUUGCGGCCACAUUUCAGAAGUUUUAAAGGAGGCAGGUGUAAGAAGUGAGGAGAUCAGAGAACAGAAGCUUUCAUAAAUCAAGACAAUAGAUAACAGGAGUCUGCGUGAGAGCAAAACUGUAGACUCAGGAUGAAGCAAAGAAUUCAGAGCUAUUACAAUGUAAUUUGUGUGCUGUGACUCCCUGGGAAAUUAUAAUUAUCAGAGAAAUAACAGACCCAUGGUCAAAUUGCCUCGGUCAUAUUACCUGGAUGAGAAAAAGAAAAUAACAAAGGGGGAAAAAGUGGUCUAGAACAUUUGAAGGUACAGGGACAAACCAACAAAAACGCUUUCCUUGUAUGACUCCAGCAUGCCAUGGUUUACAAGAUGUCCCUGGAUCUUGUCUCAUUUGACACUUUGUGAAGUCUGCAGGGAGGACCUCCUUACUCCCUUAAGCCAAGUGAGGGCACAGGUUGAAUCAAUUCUGCUAAAUAACUUGCCCAAAUUCUCCGUAAGACUGUGCACUAGAUGUCAAGUCCUUUCUCAAACUCCCACUAAUGCCAGCCUAAGAGGUUGUUGGUGCCUUCUGGGGGUUCCGCCUUUCCUUUGUGAUGAGACUUAGUAACAGCUCCCCAGUUUGUUCGUUUCGUUGUCCAGCCUUCCAUUUGAGCAAUCUGUAAUAGUCACGGGAGCCCACAGCUUGGCUUUGGGGAGGUAAAGCUCUGCCCUGAAUGGACAGAGAGAUGGGGGUGGAAUGCCUUUUGUUAGGAGGACUGGGAAACGAUGCCCAGAUGCCUGGGCUGCGGCUGCCAUCUCCUGUUCAGAGUGCUCACCCAGACCUGCCCUAUCACAACGUUUCAGAAAAGGCAAUGGCAACCCACUCCAGGACUCUUGCCUGAAGAAUGCCAGGGAUGGGGGAGCCUGGUGGGCUGCCGUCUAUGGGGUCUCACAGAGUCAGACACGACUGAAGCAACUUAGCAGCAGCAGCAGCAACACACGUUUGCUGUAAAUCCGAGUGCCAUACCCAGGUCCAUCUGAUUCCAGGUGAGGCUCAGGAAUAUUCCUCCCUGCCUUUGAGGGUCCCUAUUCAACCUGUUCUGGAGGCCGUGACUUCUGGUGGCCAGCACUGCAAGGUGGUGAGAACAGGAUGAAGGGUGUGAAGGCUAUUGUUUGCAGGAAGAGGGAGCGGGAAGAAGAGGUCUGCGAGGUGGAGACAUGGUCAAAGAUGGAGGCAAGGAAGACGGCAAGGUGCAUCUACUCUGUCUUGCGUGACCCAUCACUACAACGGAAACCUCUGUGCCGGCCACAUGCAAGAGAGACGAGGGGGCACAGAAAAUCGGGUCCGCUCCUGAUUUCAGAAGCAGUCAUCAAAGGAGCCUCAGACGAAGCUGACCUGUCCAGAUAAAUCACUUAUGUGAAUUCUGGUUGUAUAUCUCACCAUCCACCGAAGCUUGGAAAUAACUCACAGACGAAUUCAGCUUUUUUGUUCCUGAUGCUAUAGCGUAGAUUCUUAAAGGAUCUGGCGGGUUCUUUAUCACUGAGCCUCCUGGGCGGCCCUGGCCUUUCCCAAGGAGGAGGGAAUUCUGCCUGCAGACUGCCUGCGGAUUUUUGAGCUGCAGCAUCCACUCUGCCCUGGUUCUCCAGCCUCCUGCCUACCCUGACAACCUUGAAAAUUUCAUAAAAUGUAAUGGAAUUACAAGACAUUUUCCCCCUCGGACCUGGUUAUUCUGGAAAUCAUAAUCCAAUGGAGGAAAGGACCACGAGCCAAGGAAGGUAGAUGAUCUCUAGAAGCUGGAAAAGCAACAAAACGGAUUCUGUCCUACAGCAUCAACUGUUGCUGAUGCGUCCUUUCCCGUGCCUGAACUUCAGAUAAAAUUUAAUUUUGAUUCAAGCUAUGAAAUACCUGAUAAGGAAGGAAUUCAUUUUGCUGUUUCCCUUGGCAUUCUGCAUACUCGUGUUAUGGAAAGACAUGGAGGUCACCAUCUUUUCACUUUGAACUGGAAUUCAUGCUGUUAAACUGUCAAUUGUGGGAUUUUUUCAAAGCCAUAAGAGGUUCGAGAGUAGAUCAUCAUUCUCUGCCUGACCUCCCGGAACUAGGGACACAGCUCCGCCUGCAAUAGGGUGAGGAAGCGCAGUCAUGUCACUGCCCCCUAAGGAGGGAUGGCCAGAAAUACUCCAACGGUACUGAUGAUCCCUAUAUCAACCUAAGGCUUGGGAAAGAGCAGAGAACACUGGUAAUUCACAGUGCUCGAAGGCAGCCUCCACUGCACCACGUCAAACUGCAGUGAAUGGUGUUGAUAAUGAACUGAUCAAUUGCUCUAACACAUUUGAGAAUGUGGGAUAAGAGUCCACUACGAAACUGGGUAAAACGAAUGAGGUCUUCAGCUUCAGGGAGUGCUCUUGCCGACAACUCACAGCUGAGGAAUCUCUCCUAAAGAAAUGCCUUUGGCUAAAGGGAACUGCUUUGCCCAGGCUUUAACCCACUUCCCCAGGGACAGCCCACAUCCAGUGCCUGGGAUGCCGGUGGAAAGGAACUGAAGCUAUGAGACACCCUAAAGAAAGUGAAGCUGAGAGAAGAGAAGCAGCAUGCGUGCCGCCCCAGAGUUAAUAAGGAAGAGUCAGGGUUCCAAAGGCAGCUGAUCCCAGGGCUCAUGUCUGUGACCACCGUGCAGUCCCGCCCUCUGGCUGUCCUGCUUGCUUUGGCUUGGUUUUCAGUUCUUUCUGAGUUUCACUACAUAGUAUCUUGCAAAAACUAAUAUUGAUUGUAAUCUGAGUAUCUGUACCUUAUUAAUCAAGAAAGCAUAAUGAGAAGUAAAAUCUGCUAUGUGGGUUCACUAGG